rnacentral:pre_miRNA from 1 species
CAGUGCUGAGGUGUCAGAAGAUAGGACUCUUGGAGCAUCUCCACCAUGGCCUGGGGGGCUCUGCUUCUCCUCACCAUUCUCACUCAGGACACAGGUGA